AAAAACAUGUCCUUUUGAAUAUAUUUAAGGUCUGACCUGCCCAAUGAGGGUUUAAAUGGCCGCAGUAUUUUGACUGUGCAAAGGUAGCAUAAUUAUUAGUUUUUUAAUUGAGAGCUUGUAUGAAGGGUUGGACGAAAUAAAAUCUGUCUUUAUUUAAAUUAAGAUUGAAUUUAACUUUUAAGUCAGAAGGCUUAAAUUUAUAUAAAAGACGAGAAGACCCUAUAGAUCUUUAUUUAAUUAAAAUUUUAAUAAUUUAGGAUUAUUUUAGUUUAAAAUUUUAGUUAAAUUUUAUUGGGGUAAUAUAAAGAUUAAAAAAAUUCUUUUUAUUUAUUACAUUAAUAAAUGAAUACAUGAUCCAAUAUUAUUGAUUAUAAGAUUAAGUUACCUUAGGGAUAACAGCGUAAUUUUUUUGGAGAGCCCAUAUCGAUAAAAAAGUUUGCGACCUCGAUGUUGGAUUAAAAAUUAGCUUGG
rnacentral:rRNA from 1 species